ACAGAGGGUGCGAGCGUUAAUCGGAAUCACUGGGCGUAAAGCGCGCGUAGGUGGUCCGUUAAGUCGGAUGUGAAAUCCCCAGGCUUAACCUGGGAACUGCAUUCGAGACUGCAUUGCUAGAGUAUGGGAGAGGGAAGUGGAAUUUCCGGUGUAGCGGUGAAAUGCGUAGAUAUCGGAAGGAACAUCAGUGGCGAAAGCGACUUCCUGGACCAAUACUGACGCUCAUGUGCGAAAGCGUGGGGAGCAAACAGGA
rnacentral:rRNA from 1 species